rnacentral:rRNA from 1 species
GGCAUCUAAUACGUGCGCGAGUCAAUGGGAUCGGACUAAACCCAGAGGCGCAGUGAAAGCGUGGGGCGCGUCCGGCAUCAAGAGGCGGCGCGCCGCUAAAUGAUGACGGCCGGUCAGCACUCCCGGGGCGCCUCGGCUCCGGCCGCAGGCGCACACGUUGGGACCCGAAAGAUGGUGAACUAUGCCCGGCCAAGACGAAAUCAGGAGCAUCAGGAGGUCCUCAGCGAUUCUGACGUGCAAAUCGAUCAUCAGAGUUGGGUAUAGGGACGAAAGGCUAAUCGAACCAUCUCGUAGCUGAUUCCCUCCGAAGUUUCCUCAGGAUAGCUGGCGCCGAGUUGGAGUGGGCCAGUCUCAUCCGGUAAAGCGAAUGAUUAGAGGCCUUGGAGCUAAAACGAUCUCAGCCUAUUCCCAAAUUGUAAACGGGUCAAAUCUCCGGCUUGCUUCAGCAAAGGCGUGAGAAGAAAAAGAGAGAGGCUUCUGCCUCUUUCUGAAGGGUGAUAGUGCCAAGUGGGCCAGUUUUG